UGAAAUGAUAGUAAGAUAAUAGAUUGUGUAAUAAAAAUCGGUACGUAAAAAUAAUUAAACACGGGGUGGCCGAACUUGUAAAUACAUAGCCUCAAAACUGCAUCUAACUAUGCAAAUAUUAUAAAUUUAGCACUAGUUAUAGACACACAAACAUGAAAUAAAACUUGUACAAAAGAUCCCAGCUUAAAAGUAACAACUUAUCGAAAUAUUGAUUUACAAAAAGAUAACACUAUUUGUACAUAAUUUUUUGUACAUUCACAUGGAGCGGGGCCUACUAGAAUAAAAGAACAGGAAAGGUGAUUUCACUAUAAUUCUGACUAGGCACAAGCCCUAUCACAAGAAAUUUUUUUUUUUUUUUUUUUUUUGGGGCAAUAGCUCUGAAAAGACAAAUUGCAUGUCGGGAGAAAUACGAUCGAUAGGAGAUAAUUCAAACCAUCCGAUAAAACAAGUACAACCCCUACAUUCAAACCUCAUUUCUUACCAUUAGCGAGAACUUGUUAUUCGAGCGAACCCCAUCCCAUGUGAGUGUGAGACAUCUUGAUGUAUAAAAAAUUAUGUACACCAAGCGAAGCUUUUACAAAAUAAAAACAGAACGAGUACUGAAAUUGAUUUGGUCAAGAGUUCUCUAUUGUCUAUAUAUAUCCAUACGUUUGUAUGCACGGGGCUGUGCUUCUUAGUGCUUGACCACCCUCUUGGUGUUUAUGAAAUGGUACAAACCAGGGUGGUUCGAUAGUAUUCUCUAUCAUCGUCCGACAAUCUCCAUUGGCAUCCCACCAUCUCAAAUGUCUCACACUCACACUCCAUUAUCUGCACUGAAGGUCAUAAUAUGACUGAAUAUUGACAUUCGGCGAGAUAAUUGUGGUUCAUAUUGUGAUUUUGCACAUAAUUUCGUUUUUAUUUUUUAGGCGUCAAUUCUUUAAAGAGCUUUUGUAAACUGAGCACCUAAAUUAGUCUUUGGGCCACGCAUGGAUCCAUUGACAUAAAUAACUCAAUUAGCCACACAUGGACCAGCCAAUAGUUGCAACAAGAUAUAAACUGAAAUAGGGACUCUUUCAUCCCUUGGUGUACAAAUCUUUUAAAGAAUUUCCAGUAUUUUGAAAAUUUGGGAUUUAACAUUGCUAUGUUAAAACUUUAAAGUAUGCAUUUAANNN
rnacentral:lncRNA from 1 species